CCAGACUCCUACGGGAGGCAGCAGUGGGGAAUAUUGCACAAUGGGGGAAACCCUGAUGCAGCGACGCCGCGUGAGUGAAGAAGUAUUUCGGUAUGUAAAGCUCUAUCAGCAGGGAAGAAAAUGACAGUACCUGACCAAGAAGCCCCGGCUAACUACGUGCCAGCAGCCGCGGUAAUACGUAGGGGGCGAGCGUUAUCCGGAUUCACUGGGCGUAAAGGGAGCGCAGGCGGCACGGCAAGUCCGGUGUGAAAGCCCGGGGCCCAACCAUGGGACUGCUUUUGAAACUGUCAAACUAGAGUACGGGAGAGGUAAGAGGAAUUCCUAGUGUAGCGGUGAAAUGCGUAGAUAUUAGGAGGAACACCAGUGGCGAAGGCGUCUUACUGGACCGAAACUGACGUUGAGGCUCGAAAGCGUGGGGAGCAAACAGGAUUAGAUACCCCCGUACAC
rnacentral:rRNA from 1 species